CAGUAGCCGCGGUAAUACGAAGGGGGCUAGCGUUGUUCGGAAUCACUGGGCGUAAAGCGCACGUAGGCGGAUUUUUAAGUCAGGGGUGAAAUCCCGAGGCUCAACCUCGGAACUGCCUUUGAUACUGGAGAUCUUGAGUUCGGAAGAGGUUGGUGGAACAGCUAGUGUAGAGGUGAAAUUCGUAGAUAUUAGCUAGAACACCAGUGGCGAAGGCGGCCAACUGGUCCGACACUGACGCUGAGGUGCGAAAGCGUGGGGAGCAAACAGGAUUAGAUACCCCAGUAGUCCCUGUCUCUUAUAC
rnacentral:rRNA from 1 species